rnacentral:rRNA from 1 species
GACGAACGCUGGCGGCGUGCUUAACACAUGCAAGUCGAGCGAUGAAGCCCUUCGGGGUGGAUUAGCGGCGGACGGGUGAGUAACACGUGGGUAACCUGCCUUAUAGAGGGGGAUAGCCUUCCGAAAGGAAGAUUAAUACCGCAUAAUAUGCAAUUCUCGCAUGAGAGAUGUAUCAAAGGAGCAAUCCGCUAUAAGAUGGGCCCGCGGCGCAUUAGCUAGUUGGUGAGGUAACGGCUCACCAAGGCGACGAUGCGUAGCCGACCUGAGAGGGUGAUCGGCCACAUUGGAACUGAGACACGGUCCAGACUCCUACGGGAGGCAGCAGUGGGGAAUAUUGCACAAUGGGGGAAACCCUGAUGCAGCAACGCCGCGUGAGUGAUGAAGGCCUUCGGGUUGUAAAGCUCUUUGAUUAGGGACGAUAAUGACGGUACCUAAAGAACAAGCCACGGCUAACUACGUGCCAGCAGCCGCGGUAAUAC